GAUGGACGCUGGCGGCGUGCCUAAUACAUGCAAGUCGAGCGAACAGAUAAGGAGCUUGCUCCUUUGACGUUAGCGGCGGACGGGUGAGUAACACGUGGGUAACCUACCUAUAAGACUGGAAUAACUCCGGGAAACCGGGGCUAAUGCCGGAUAACAUUUAGAACCGCAUGGUUCUAAAGUGAAAGAUGGUUUUGCUAUCACUUAUAGAUGGACCCGCGCCGCAUUAGCUAGUUGGUAAGGUAACGGCUUACCAAGGCAACGAUACGUAGCCGACCUGAGAGGGUGAUCGGCCACACUGGAACUGAGACACGGUCCAGACUCCUACGGGAGGCAGCAGUAGGGAAUCUUCCGCAAUGGGCGAAAGCCUGACGGAGCAACGCCGCGUGAGUGAUGAAGGUCUUCGGAUCGUAAAACUCUGUUAUUAGGGAAGAACAAAUGUGUAAGUAACUGUGCACGUCUUGACGGUACCUAAUCAGAAAGCCACGGCUAACUACGUG
rnacentral:rRNA from 1 species